GGGGGGCCGGCGCUCGGCAGUCGGCACGGCUGGCGCCACUCACGCGGUGGGGGAGAACCCGAAAAAGAGCAAGGGAGCCGGACCCCCCAGCAAACCUUUCGCGCUGCUGGGCGCCCCGUCCCGUCCGCCCCUCUUCCGCCCCCGCCACCCACCCCGUCCCCGUGAGGCCGUGACUCGCCGCACGGGGGUAGGAGGCUGCCGCCGCGACGCCGCCUUGCCGUUCCAGGAUGGCCGACGGGAGCCUCUACGUCUGGUGGUGCCGCGCCUUGGCCUGCGCGCUGGCGCUCGUCGCGGUGGACGGCUUGCUCGUGGACAUCACCUACGUGGAAACCGCCGUGGCCAAAGGAGCAGUGUGCUUGGAUGGGAGCGCGCCGGCGUAUCACCUCGCCCGCGGCUCCGGCUCCGGCGUGAACAGCUGGCUGGUGCAUUUUGAGGGGGGAGGAUGGUGCAACAAUGUCACGAGCUGCCUGCAACGGAAGCGCACGCGGCUGGGGUCCUCCAAGGAGAUGGCGACGCAGAUUGCCUUCUCCGGAAUCCUGAGCGACACCCCUGAUUACAACCCAGACUUUUACAAUUGGAACAAGGUCAAGGUCCGGUACUGUGAUGGAUCAUCUUUUACCGGCGAUGUCGAACAAAUCGAUCCUACAACAAAGCUACACUUUAGAGGUGCAAGGAUAUGGCAAGCUGUCAUGGAGGACCUGCUCGCCAAAGGGAUGGACAAAGCUGAAAACGCUCUAAUUUCAGGAUGUUCCGCUGGCGGUUUAACCUCCAUACUACACUGCGACAGAUUUCAUGACCUUCUACCAUCGAGUGCCAGAGUUAAAUGCCUUUCCGAUGCUGGUUUCUUCAUCAAUGAGAAAGAUGUUGCUGGAGUGGGGUACAUUGCUGCCUUUUUCAACGAUGUGGUUGCAACACAUGGUUCAGCGAAGAAUUUACCUUCUUCAUGCACUUCAACCUUACCUCCAGGACUGUGCUUUUUCCCCCAGAACGAGGUAAAACAGACGCAGACACCUCUGUUCAUCCUCAACGCAGCAUAUGAUUCAUGGCAGGUAAGGAACAUUUUGGUGCCAGGAGUUGCUGACCCUCGGGGUACAUGGCGUAGCUGUAAGCAUGACAUAGACCAGUGUUCUGCAGCGCAGCUCCGGGAUUCAGGGAUGAUUUUCUGAAGGCAGUGGCGGAACAAGGGAGCUCCGCCUCCAGAGGGCUGUUCAUAAACUCAUGCUACGUGCACUGCCAGUCCGAGACACAGGAGCUGUGGUUCUCAUCUGACUCCCCCAUGCUCGGAAACACAACGAUAGCAGACGCGGUCGGCGACUGGUUCUUCGACCGCAGCCUGUUCCAGAAGAUCGACUGCCCGUACCCUUGUGACUCGACCUGUCACAACCGGGUCUACGAUGACCCGUCGCAUGCAUAGCAAUUACAGCGGCCUCACUUCGUCCUGCCAUUCGUCACGCUACUACAUUUGACGCUCCAGCAUUGCUAAGGGGCAUAGAGCAAUGCGUUGCGUUGAUAGCCAUUGAUUGGUUGAAUAAAAGAUCGGUGCCGGAGGCUUAACUUGGCUGCUGGCGCCGCCGGGGUGCCGGAAGCUGGAAGCAGCUUCCAACGGCAGGUACAGUCCAAGGGAUAGGAGCUGUUUCCUAUGUUUCCACUACCCUGUAUUUUCGUCUGAUACGCGCAGGAGCCACAUUGGUUCUUCAGAAGUGAGGCGGCACAGAUUCUGUUUC